rnacentral:rRNA from 1 species
UGAACGCGAAGAACCUUACCUACUCUUGACAUCCAGAGAAUUUGCUAGAGAUAGCUUAGUGCCUUCGGGAACUCUGAGACAGGUGCUGCAUGGCUGUCGUCAGCUCGUGUUGUGAAAUGUUGGGUUAAGUCCCGCAACGAGCGCAACCCUUAUCCUUUGUUGCCAGCACGUAAUGGUGGGAACUCAAAGGAGACUGCCGGUGAUAAACCGGAGGAAGGUGGGGAUGACGUCAAGUCAUCAUGGCCCUUACGAGUAGGGCUACACACGUGCUACAAUGGCAUAUACAAAGAGAAGCGAACUCGCGAGAGCAAGCGGACCUCAUAAAGUAUGUCGUAGUCCGGAUUGGAGUCUGCAACUCGACUCCAUGAAGUCGGAAUCGCUAGUAAUCGUAGAUCAGA